ACAGGAUUAGAUACCCUGGUAGUCCACGCCGUAAACGAUGUCGACUUGGAGGCUGUUCCCUUGAGGAGUGGCUUCCGGAGCUAACGCGUUAAGUCGACCGCCUGGGGAGUACGGCCGCAAGGUUAAAACUCAAAUGAAUUGACGGGGGCCCGCACAAGCGGUGGAGCAUGUGGUUUAAUUCGAUGCAACGCGAAGAACCUUACCUACUCUUGACAUCCAGAGAACUUUCCAGAGAUGGAUUGGUGCCUUCGGGAACUCUGAGACAGGUGCUGCAUGGCUGUCGUCAGCUCGUGUUGUGAAAUGUUGGGUUAAGUCCCGCAACGAGCGCAACCCUUAUCCUUUGUUGCCAGCGAUUCGGUCGGGAACUCAAAGGAGACUGCCGGUGAUAAACCGGAGGAAGGUGGGGAUGACGUCAAGUCAUCAUGGCCCUUACGAGUAGGGCUACACACGUGCUACAAUGGCGCAUACAAAGAGAAGCGACCUCGCGAGAGCAAGCGGACCUCAUAAAGUGCGUCGUAGUCCGGAUCGGAGUCUGCAACUCGACUCCGUGAAGUCGGAAUCGCUAGUAAUCGUGGAUCAGAAUGCCACGGUGAAUACGUUCCCGGGCCUUGUACACACCGCCCGUCACACCAUGGGAGUGGGUUGCAAAAGAAGUAGGUAGCUUAACCUUCGGGAGGGCGCUUACCACUUUGUGAUUCAUGACUGGGGUGAAGUCGUAACAAGGUACC
rnacentral:rRNA from 1 species